rnacentral:rRNA from 1 species
GGGGUGGCUCGAGUGGCGAACGGGUGAGUAACACGUGAGUAACCUGCCCUUGACUUUGGGAUAACUUCAGGAAACUGGGGCUAAUACCGGAUAGGAGCUACUGCUGCAUGGUGGGGGUUGGAAAGUUUCGGCGGUUGGGGAUGGACUCGCGGCUUAUCAGCUUGUUGGUGGGGUAGUGGCUUACCAAGGCUUUGACGGGUAGCCGGCCUGAGAGGGUGACCGGCCACAUUGGGACUGAGAUACGGCCCAG